rnacentral:rRNA from 1 species
GGCUUAUUGAUAAUAAUUUUAGGUCUAGCCUGCCCAAUGAGGGUUCUUAAAUGGCCGCAGUAUUUUGACUGUGCAAAGGUAGCAUAAUAAUUAGUUUUUUAAUUGAAAACUGGAAUGAAAGGUUUGAUGAAAAAAUUUCUGUCUCUGGAAAAUUUUAUUAGAAUUUUAUUUUUAAGUUAAAAAGCUUAAAUGUGUAUGGAAGACGAGAAGACCCUAUAGAGUUUUAUAUUUAUUAAAGUGUAUAUUUUUUUGUAAGAAAAAGUUUAGGUUUUUGUAAGUAUUUUGUUGGGGUGAUAGAAAAAUUUGAUUAACUUUUUUUUGUAAUUUUACAUUAGUAUAUGGGUGUAUGAUCCUAGAAUUUAGAUUAUAAGAUUAAAUUACCUUAGGGAUAACAGCGUAAUUUUUUAAAGAGUUCUUAUCGGAAAAAAAGAUUGCGACCUCGAUGUUGGAUUAAAAUUAAUUUCUGGUGUAGAAGCUAGACAAUUAGGUCUGUUCGACCUUUAAAAUUUUACAUGAUCUGAGUUUAAACCGGCGUGAG